rnacentral:rRNA from 1 species
AUCUGGAGAGGAUGCUUCUGGCGCGGCGCCUUCCGAGUUCCCUGGAACGGGACGCCGGAGAGGGUGAGAGCCCCGUACGGUCGGACGCCCAGCCUCUGUGAAGCUCCUUCGACGAGUCGAGUAGUUUGGGAAUGCUGCUCAAAAUGGGAGGUAAAUUUCUUCUAAAGCUAAAUACCGGCCAGAGACCGAUAGCGCACAAGUAGAGUGAUCGAAAGAUGAAAAGCACUUUGAAAAGAGGGUUAAACAGUACGUGAAAUUGUUGAAAGGGAAGCGCCCGUGGCCAGACUUGCGCCGCGCGGACCACCCGGCGUUCUCGCCGGUGCACUCCGCGCGGCGCAGGCCAGCAUCGGUUUUCCCAGGGGGACAAAGGCCGCGGGAACGUAGCUCCUCCGGGAGUGUUAUAGCCCGCGGCGCCAUGCCCCUGGGGGGACCGAGG